rnacentral:rRNA from 1 species
UCCUACGGGAGGCAGCAGUGGGGAAUAUUGGGCAAUGGGCGAAAGCCUGACCCAGCAACGCCGCGUGAAGGAAGAAGGCCUUCGGGUUGUAAACUUCUUUUACCAGGGACGAAGGACGUGACGGUACCUGGAGAAAAAGCAACGGCUAACUACGUGCCAGCAGCCGCGGUAAUACGUAGGUUGCAAGCGUUGUCCGGAUUUACUGGGUGUAAAGGGCGUGUAGGCGGAGAUGCAAGUUAGGAGUGAAAUCUAUGGGCUCAACCCAUAAACUGCUUCUAAAACUGUAUCCCUUGAGUAUCGGAGAGGCAAGCGGAAUUCCUAGUGUAGCGGUGAAAUGCGUAGAUAUUAGGAGGAACACCAGUGGCGAAGGCGGCUUGCUGGACGACAACUGACGCUGAGGCGCGAAAGCGUGGGGAGCAAACAGGAUUAGAUACCCUGGUAGUCCACGCUGUAAACGAUGAAUACUAGGUGUGGGAGGACUGACCCCUUCCGUGCCGCAGUUAACACAAUAAGUAUUCCACCUGGGGAGUACGACCGCAAGGUUGAAACUCAAAGGAAUUGACGGGGGCCCGCACAAGCAGUGGAUUAUGUGGUUUAAUUCGACGCAACGCGAAGAACCUUACCAGGACUUGACAUCCAACUAACGAAGUAGAGAUACAUUAGGUGCCCUUCGGGGAAAGUUGAGACAGGUGGUGCAUGGUUGUCGUCAGCUCGUGUCGUGAGAUGUUGGGUUAAGUCCCGCAACGAGCGCAACCCCUAUUGUUAGUUGCUACGAAAGAGCACUCUAGCGAGACUGCCGUUGACAAAACGGAGGAAGGCGGGGACGACGUCAAAUCAUCAUGCCCCUUAUGUCCUGGGCUACACACGUAAUACAAUGGUGGUAAACAGAGGGAAGCAAAGCCGCGAGGCAGAGCAAAUCCCUAAAAGCCAUCUCAGUUCGGAUUGCAGGCUGCAACUCGCCUGCAUGAAGCUGGAAUUGCUAGUAAUCGCGGAUCAGAAUGCCGCGGUGAAUACGUUCCCGGGCCUUGUACACACCGCCCGUCACACCAUGAGAGUCGGGAACACCCGAAGUCCGUAGUCUAACCGCAAGGAGGGCGCGGCCGAAGGUGGGUCCGGUAAUUGGGGUGAAGUCGUAACAAGGUAACCGUACUAGUACGAGAUCCGU